rnacentral:rRNA from 1 species
AUUGAACGCUGGCGGCAGGCCUAACACAUGCAAGUCGAGCGGAUGAAGGGAGCUUGCUCCUGGAUUCAGCGGCGGACGGGUGAGUAAUGCCUAGGAAUCUGCCUGGUAGUGGGGGAUAACGUCCGGAAACGGGCGCUAAUACCGCAUACGUCCUGAGGGAGAAAGUGGGGGAUCUUCGGACCUCACGCUAUCAGAUGAGCCUAGGUCGGAUUAGCUAGUUGGUGGGGUAAAGGCCUACCAAGGCGACGGUCCGUAACUGGUCUGAGAGGAUGAUCAGUCACACUGGAACUGAGACACGGUCCAGACUCCUACGGGAGGCAGCAGUGGGGAAUAUUGGACAAUGGGCGAAAGCCUGAUCCAGCCAUGCCGCGUGUGUGAAGAAGGUCUUCGGAUUGUAAAGCACUUUAAGUUGGGAGGAAGAGCAGUAAGUUAAUACCUUGCUGUUUUGACGUUACCAACAGAAUAAGCACCGGCUAACUUCGUG